CCAGACAGCCAGGAUGUUGGCUUAGAAGCAGCCAUCAUUUAAAGAAAGCGUAAUAGCUCACUGGUCGAGUCGGCCUGCGCGGAAGAUGUAACGGGGCUAAACCAUGCACCGAAGCUGCGGCAGCGACGCUGAUGCGUUGUUGGGUAGGGGAGCGUUCUGUAAGCCUGUGAAGGUGGCCUGUGAGGGUUGCUGGAGGUAUCAGAAGUGCGAAUGCUGACAUAAGUAACGAUAAAGCGGGUGAAAAGCCCGCUCGCCGGAAGAC
rnacentral:rRNA from 5 species